rnacentral:rRNA from 1 species
AUGAAGGGUUCUUUCCAAGAUGCUUUGAAGUCACUUGAGCCACUAGAACAGCCCAUUACUCCUCCUCUUGAAAUCAUUGUCGCGCUUGAAAAGAUCCCAGACUUGGCUCGUUCAGACAUGUUGCGAGCAUAUGGUAAACUCAUCCUUAGUGAAUGCUUAUUCCAAGCGCUUAUGGAGUUGCCCAUGGAGUUUAGGAAGGAAUGGUUGUUGAUGCUCAAUGAGAAGAACAACGUUUGA